rnacentral:rRNA from 1 species
UACGAAGGGGGCUAGCGUUGUCGGAAUCACUGGGCGUAAAGCGCACGUAGGCGAUUGUUAAGUCAGGGGUGAAAUCCUGGAGCUCAACUCCAGAACUGCCUUGAUACUGGCGAUCGUCAGUCCGGGAGAGGUGAGUGGAACUGCGAGUGUAGAGGUGAAAUUCGUAGAUAUUCGCAAGAACACCAGUGGCGAAGGCGGCUCACUGGCCCGGAACUGACGCUGAGGUGCGAAAGCGUGGGGAGCAAACAGG